UUCGUUUUUUUCUUUUUUCUUUUUUUGUUACUUAACGAUCGUGUUCAAGAUGGAAAGAAUAAUAACGAGUACGAACUUCAAGAGAGACAAGCUUUUAGCAUCGGCCUCGAGUUUGGCCGCAUCAGCGGCCGCAGUCUCGCGCCGACGCAGUUUAAUAGCCGCAGCUGUGUUUGCACCUUCGAGAAAAAAAAUGUCAUCGUUUGCCUCAGUUUCCUUAUUCUCGUACGAGCUGUUAUCGCGUUUUCUUUCAAAAUAAGAAUUGUAGGAAAUAAGAAAAAAAGAAAAAAAAAAAAAAGAAAAAGAAAAGAAAAAAAAUAAAAGAAAAAUAGAAAAUAAAAAAUAAACGAUAUGUGCGUCAUUACUUCGAAAUUCCCGCGUUGUUAAGUCGUGCCAGUGACUACCGAGGGAAUAAUUUUUUUUUUUCUUCAAUUUUCUGUGAAUAUCCGAAUAAUUAUCGAUCAUUACGGAUGAAACGAACGACUAUAAACCGACGCUAAUCGUUCCUCCUUCGAGCAAUGCACCUCGUAACUUCUCGUGAGAGAAGAUGAAAGAAAGAGAAGGAGAAAAAGAAAAAGAGAAAGAAAAAGA